UCCCAAUAAGGCCACCCCUGCCGCGAGGCAGGUCCGGAAAGCCACGGGUCUCGGAGGAUGUUGCCGAGACAGCCGGGCCGCUGGG
rfam:Desulfovibrio sp. TomC contig00003, whole genome shotgun sequence.